rnacentral:rRNA from 1 species
UGCGCGCCUACCAUGCAGUCGAGCGGCAGCGGGUCCUUCGGGAUGCCGGCGAGCGGCGGACGGGUGAGUAAUGCCUAGGAAUCUGCCUGAUAGUGGGGGAUAACGUUCGGAAACGGACGCUAAUACCGCAUACGUCCUACGGGAGAAAGCGGGGGAUCUUCGGACCUCGCGCUAUCAGAUGAGCCUAGGUCGGAUUAGCUAGUUGGUGAGGUAAUGGCUCACCAAGGCGACGAUCCGUAACUGGUCUGAGAGGAUGAUCAGUCACACUGGAACUGAGACACGGUCCAGACUCCUACGGGAGGCAGCAGUGGGGAAUAUUGGACAAUGGGCGAAAGCCUGAUCCAGCCAUGCCGCGUGUGUGAAGAAGGUCUUCGGAUUGUAAAGCACUUUAAGUUGGGAGGAAGGGCAGUAAGCUAAUAUCUUGCUGUUUUGACGUUACCAACAGAAUAAGCACCGGCUAACUUCGUGCCAGCAGCCGCGGUAAUACGAAGGGUGCAAGCGUUAAUCGGAAUUACUGGGCGUAAAGCGCGCGUAGGUGGUUCAGCAAGUUGGAUGUGAAAGCCCCGGGCUCAACCUGGGAACUGCAUCCAAAACUACUGAGCUAGAGUACGGUAGAGGGUGGUGGAAUUUCCUGUGUAGCGGUGAAAUGCGUA